rnacentral:rRNA from 1 species
GGGAUCGCCCUUCCUACGGGAGGCAGCAGUGGGGAAUUUUGGACAAUGGGCGCAAGCCUGAUCCAGCAAUGCCGCGUGAGUGCAGAAGGCCUUCGGGUUGUAAAGCUCUUUUGUCAGGGAAGAAACGGUCGAGGCUAAUACCUUCGGCUAAUGACGGUACCUGAAGAAUAAGCACCGGCUAACUACGUGCCAGCAGCCGCGGUAAUAAGGGCGAUCC